AGCCGAAGCGAAAGCGAGUCUUAAUAGGGCGUAUAGUCGGAAGGAGUAGACGCGAAACCAAGUGAUCUACCCUUGAGCAGGUUGAAGGAUGGGUAACACCAUCUGGAGGACCGAACCAAUAAGCGUUGAAAAGCUUCUGGAUGACUUGAGGGUGGGGGUGAAAGGCUAAUCAAACUUGGAGAUAGCUCGUACUCCCCGAAAUGCAUUUAGGUGCAGCCUUGACUUAUACUGACAUGAGGUAGAGCGACUGAUAAGAUGCGAGGGCUUCACCGCCUAUCAAGUCUUGACAAACUCCGAAUGCGUGUCAGUUCUAUGUCAGGAGUGAGGGCAUGGGUGCUAAGGUCCAUGUCCUAAAGGAGAACAAUCCGGACCAACAGCUAAGGUCCCGAAAUGAAUACUAAGUUGAACUAACGAAGUCAGAUUGCUAAGACAGCUAGGAUGUUGGCUUGGAAGCAGCCAUUCAUUUAAAGAGUGCGUAACAGCUCACUAGUCGAGGAGUUUGGCGUGGAUAAUAAUCGGGCAUUAAGUAUUCUACCGAAGCUUUGGGAUGAGUAAUCAUCGGUAGGGGAGCAUUCCACUCAGCGUUGAAGGUGAAGCGUGAGCUUUGCUGGAGCGUGUGGAAAAGCAAAUGUAGGUAUAAGUAACGAUAAAGGGGGUGAGAAACCCCCUCGCCGAAAGACUAAGGUUUCCUGAUCAACGCUAAUCGGAUCAGGGUUAGUCGGGUCCUAAGGCUCAGCCGAACGGCGAGGCCGAUGGCAGAACCGGUUAAUAUUCCGGUACUACCUUCAGGAGUGACGUGGAGACGGAGCAGUGAUAAUGCCGCCGACUGACGGAAUAGUCGGUUAAAGGGUGUAGAUGUUGAUUUCUGUAGGCAAAUCCGCAGAGAGAGUCGAACCUGAUAGUACGGAGCGUUCUUCGAACAAUCCGAUAGUGCAUGUAAGCAUACUCCCGAGAAAAUCCGCUAAACUUAAUCCUGACGGUACCCGUACCGUAAACGGACACACGUAGUCGGGUUGAAUAUACUAAGGCGCUUGAGUGAUUCACGGUUAAGGAACUAGGCAAACUGACCCUGUAACUUCGGGAUAAAGGGUCCUCAGGGUAACUUGAGGCGCAGAGAAUAGGUCCAGGCAACUGUUUAACAAAAACACAGGGCUGUGCAAAAUAGAAAUAUGAAGUAUACAGCCUGACACCUGCCCGGUGCUGGAAGGUUAAGAGGAGAUGUCAUCGCAAGAGAAGCAUUGAAUUGAAGCCCCAGUAAACGGCGGCCGUAACUAUAACGGUCCUAAGGUAGCGAAAUUCCUUGUCGGGUAAGUUCCGACCUGCACGAAUGGUGUAAUGAUCUGGACGCUGUCUCAACCGUGAGCUCAGUGAAAUUGUAGUAUCGGUGAAGAUGCCGAUUACCCGCGAUGGGACGAAAAGACCCCGUGAACCUUUACUAUAGCUUAACAUUGAAUUUGGGUAAUUG
rnacentral:rRNA from 1 species